UACAGGGGGUGCAAACGUUGCUCGGAAUUAUUGGGCGUAAAGCGCGCGUAGGCGGCUACUUAAGUCGGAUGUGAAAGCCCCUGGCUCAACUGGGGAAGUGCACCCGAAACUGAGUGGCUUGAGGCCGGGAGAGGGUAGCGGAAUUCCCAGUGUAGCGGUGAAAUGCGUAGAGAUCGUAAGGAAGGCCAGUGGCGAAGGCGGGUCUCUGGACAGUUCCUGACACUGAGGCACGAAGGCCAGGGGAGCAAACGGG
rnacentral:rRNA from 1 species